rnacentral:lncRNA from 1 species
UGCCUUGGGAACCAUAGGCGAGGAUAAUAACACGGCUCCUCAUCUUAGGCACUCUUUCAUUUUCCAGUCGACUUCCUGUAGACAUGGCAGCUGAGUGGCUGCCACACCCACCCUGGGACGCUGUCCUUCUCCUGGAACUUAACGUGGCAGCUGUAGGUGUCCAACCAAAGAGUGUGAAGACUCUGCUCUCCACACGGGUCGCAUGCCACACGACCUCUGGCUCCUGUCUCCUGGACUCCCAUCGGCAGGCGUGAUGCACCAUGACCUGGCCAGGGGCUUUGGAGGAUGGCAGGGGAGCCAGGCAUGGUUACCUGGGGCUCCUCCAUGGAAAUGGCAGUUCGGCCAGAGGGAGAAGACAGAGUGCCCCAGGGCCCGUCAGCCUUGCUGCGAUAGCUGGUAAGAUGGGUCUGAUCCCUGCGACCUCUGUGUCAGGGGCAGUCUGACUUGGACUGGUCACCUUUUCACUCAGUGCUUGGCCAAGGGGCUUCUUGUUAUAAUGGUUUUUGCCACCAUCCUUCUUAAGGCGGCCUGGCUUUUGGCAGCAGCAGCAAGUGGGUUUAGUCCUUGAGCUCUUCUUGGAGCUCCAAAAAUCAGACUUAGAGUCUACUCCUUGUAAGGCAGAUACUUUCUCCUUACCUCCCUGGCCUCUUCCUAUUUCAAUUAGAAAAACUGAGCAGGCAAUUUUCACUAAAGUAUUAAGUGAACUAUCUGGAGCAAAAGUCAUCUUUUGUAGCUUUUUCCUAAUAUCAGGCUGACUGAGUAAUAAAUUUGUCUAUAAGAAUAAUUCCCAGGGCUAGGGGUAUAGCUCAGUGGCAUAAGAGCCUGCCUGGCAAGUGCAAGGUCCUGAGUUCAAUUCUUUUUGAGACAGGGUCUCGCUAUGCAGUUCAGGCUGGCCUUG